rnacentral:rRNA from 1 species
UACGUAGGGGGCAAGCGUUGUCCGGAAUUACUGGGCGUAAAGCGCCUGUAGGCGGGAACGUGCGUCGGACGUGAAAGGCGGGGGCUUAACCCCCGAGCGGCGUUCGAAACGGCGUUUCUUGAGGGUCGAAGAGGAGCGUGGAAUUCCUGGUGUAGCGGUGAAAUGCGCAGAUAUCGGGAAGAACACCCGUGGCGAAGGCGGCUCUCUGGGACGGUACUGACGCUGAGACGCGAAAGCGUGGGGAGCGAACAGG